AUCGAACGCUGGCGGCAGGCCUAACACAUGCAAGUCGAACGAGUGGCGGACGGGUGAGUAAUGUCUGGGCAACUGCCUGCUGGAGGGGGAUAACUACUGGAAACGGUAGCUAAUACCGCCUACCAUACUUUGUGCCCAGAUGGGAUUAGCGAGUUGGUGUGUGAACGGCUCACAAAGGCGACGAUCCCUAGCUAGUCUGAGAGGAUGACCAGCCACACUGGAACUGAGAAACGGUCCAGACUCCUACGGGAGGCAGCAGUGGGGAAUAUUGGACAAUGGGCGAAAGCCUGAUGCAGCCAUGCGGCGUGUAUGAAGAAGGCCUGCGGGUUGUAAAGUACUUUCAGCGGGGAGGCGUUACCCGCAGAAGAAGCACCGGCUAACUACGUGCCAGCAGCCGCGGUAAUUC
rnacentral:rRNA from 1 species